rnacentral:rRNA from 1 species
GACGAACGCUGGCGGCGUGCUUAACACAUGCAAGUCGAACGGUGAAGCGCCUUCCUUUUUGGUGGGUGUGGAUGAGUGGCGAACGGGUGAGUAACACGUGAGUAACCUGCCCCCUUCUUCUGGAUAACCGCAUGAAAGUGUGGCUAAUACGGGAUAUUCUGGGUCUGUCGCAUGAUGGGUCUGGGAAAGAUAUUGUUUCGGUGGGGGAUGGGCUCGCGGCCUAUCAGCUUGUUGGUGGGGUGAUGGCCUACCAAGGCGGUGACGGGUAGCCGGCCUGAGAGGGUGGACGGUUACACUGGGACUGAGACACGGCCCAGACUCCUACGGGAGGCAGCAGUGGGGAAUAUUGCACAAUGGGCGCAAGCCUGAUGCAGCGGCGCCGCGUGAGGGAUGGAGGCCUUCGGGUUGUGAACCUCUUUCGCCAGUGAAGCAGGCCUGCCUCGUUUGUGGGUGGGUUGACGGUAGCUGGAUAAGAAGCGCCGGCUAACUACGU